rnacentral:rRNA from 1 species
UACGGAGGAUGCAAGCGUUAUCCGGAAUGAUUGGGCGUAAAGCGUCCGCAGGUGGCUAUGUAAGUCUGCUGUUAAAGAGUGAGGCUCAACCUCAUAAGAGCAGUGGAAACUACAUGGCUAGAGUGCGUUCGGGGCAGAGGGAAUUCCUGGUGUAGCGGUGAAAUGCGUAGAUAUCAGGAAGAACACCCGUGGCUAAGGCGGCUCUCUAGUACGGUACUGACGCUGAGACGCGAAAGCGUGGGGAGCGAACAGG